AGCUUGUCAUAGAUACACCUAAUAAAUAAAAAACUAUGAAUCUGAAAAUAGGUAAUUUAGUAUGAUAUUUGUGCCUUCAGGGGCACCUACCACUAGUCCUGCUAGACACAGAGGAAAAGAGAUAAGAAAAUGAAGGAGAGAGAAGGAAACCGUUUCAAUGACGGUAAAGCUAUAGUAGGAAUAAUUAUGAAAGUAUCUAUUAAAGGUUUAAUUAAUCCUGUACUGUGCUCCCC